UACGUAGGGUGCAAGCGUGUCCGGAAUUACUUGGGCUGUUGAAAUGAAGGCUCGUAGGCGGUCUGUCGCGUCGGCUGUGAAAAUCCCGAGGCGUCAACCUCGGGUCUCGCAGUCGAUAACGGGCAAACUGGAGUGACUGCAGGGGAGACUGGAAUUCCUGGUGUAGCGGUGGAAAUGCGCAGAUAUCAGGAGGAACACCGGUGGCGUAAGGCGGGUCUCUGGGCGAGUAACUGACGCUGAGGAGCGAAAGCGUGGGGAGCGAACAGG
rnacentral:rRNA from 1 species